ACGCAUGUCUAGAGUUUAAAAGAUGGGUUCUGCUAUCACUCUUGGGAUGGGACCUGCGGUGCAUUAGCUAGUUGGUAAGGUAACGGGCUUUACCAAGGCAAUGAUGCAUAGCCCGAGUUGAGAGACUGAUCGGGCCACAUUGGGGACUGAGAUACGGGCCCAAAACUCCUACGGGGAGGCAGCAGUAGGGAAUCUUCCACAAUGGACGCAAGUCUGAUGGAGCAACGCCGCGUGAGUGAAGAAGGGUUUCGGCUCGUAAAGCUCUGUUGGUAGUGAAGAAAGAUAGAGGUAGUAACUGGCCUUUAUUUGACGGUAAUUACUUAGAAGUCACGGCUAACUACGUGCCAGCAGCCGCGGUAAU
rnacentral:rRNA from 1 species